CUGAACGCUGCUUCUCCUUGUUUAGUUUUGACUCUGGGGACAGAAAGCUGACCUGAGAGGUCUGGAUGAUUUGUAAUGAAGCAGAAGAUCGGAAAUGUAUUUUGGCCCUAAACCAUUUAGUGCUUGAAUUGAAUAUAUUGGUAUCUUAGCACUGACAAAUUAACAAAUAUAUGAGGUUUGUGCAUGAUUUUGUGUAUUUCACCAUCUUUCUGUCAGUCACAACAGAUCUCUGUCACAAAGCACAAGUUGAAGGACAUGAUUUAGCUCUACCUUCUGUCACGGCCCCCGGCCCCUGAUCCCCUCCAGUGACAGUGUGUGUAUGGGUGAAUGAUUUUUGAUUUGUUUUUUGCACUUUGAGUGUUUGCCGUGUACCUGGUGUUUGUCUGUCUCUCCUUCCUUGUUUCCCAGAACUGGUGGGUGUGGUCUUCAGUUCCUCACGGCUGUGGCGCACCUGUUGGGUAUUGCCUCAUCACCACUCCCUAUUUAACCCUGGCCAACUCACCUGUCCUUGCUGGAUUGUUGUGUAACUAUGGAAACCUGCCCUGGAUCUCAGGUCUUCCCCGCCAGUCAGCGCAACCCUCAGGAGUGUCCUCCGCCUCGCCUCGCCUGCCCUGCUUGCCUUCUCCUACGGAGCCUGGACCUUGCCCCUCUCCCCCGUCAGUUUUCCCUCUGUCAUUUCAUCAAUAAAGCUCUCUUGUUCAUCCCCCA